UACGAAGGGGGCUAGCGUUGCUCGGAAUCACUGGGCGUAAAGGGUGCGUAGGCGGGUCUUUAAGUCAGGGGUGAAAUCCUGGAGCUCAACUCCAGAACUGCCUUUGAUACUGAAGAUCUUGAGUUCGGGAGAGGUGAGUGGAACUGCGAGUGUAGAGGUGAAAUUCGUAGAUAUUCGCAAGAACACCAGUGGCGAAGGCGGCUCGCUGGGACGUGACUGACGCUGAGACGCGAAAGCGUGGGGAGCAAACAGG
rnacentral:rRNA from 1 species